AUCUUCCAAAUCUCAAGUCUCUUGACAACAAGGGGCUUCAACAACUCACCUCUCUUCGAGAAUUAUGGAUCCAGUACUGCCCUGAGCUCCAAUUCUCGACAGGAUCUGUUCUUCAAUGCCUUAUCUCUCUCAAGAAAUUAGGAAUCGACUCAUGCGGAAGGCUCCAAUCCUUGACAGAAGCGGGUCUUCACCACCUCACCACUCUUGAAACCUUACAUAUCGACGACUGCCCUAAGCUUCAAUACUUGACAAAAGAGAGACUGCCAGACUCACUCCUUUAUCUGCAUAUCAACGAGUGUCCUCCACUGGAACAACGGCUCCAGUUCGAGAAAGGGCAAGAAUGGCGUUAUAUAUCUCACAUUCCAAAAAUAACGAUCGGUCUUGAGCUAUUUUAAUGGGAGUGGCAGUGCACCAACACAUGGGCAGGCAAUUCCUAAUGGCAUUUGUAGCAUAGGUACCAGUAGCCAUGGUAGUGGGAUUUGUGGAUUUAAUAGCCAUUGUAUUGUUUGAUGAAGAGGGGAGGCUGUCCAGAUUGUUGCCUGUAUAGGUAUUCUUUCUUGGAUACAGAUUUUAAAGAUCAAAUUUUUUUCAAACCAAGCAGAUGAAGGGGAAGCAGAGAAGAAUGCGGUGGGCUAUUGACAAGCAAAAUUGAGUUCCAAGCAGAACAUAAUCCCAUGAUCUUGUAUAUAUGCAUUGCCCUCUCUCAACUCCAAAAAUGGUGAUCAAUGGUCUGUUAUUGUAAUGAAAGUGGUAUUGCACCAAUAUACAGCCAAGAAAGUUCAUUUUGUGAGCAAAUUUGACCAACCUCAAAUGGUAUAAAGUAUGGAUGGCCCUUGCUUGGUUGGGUCAAGUUACAGUCAGACUUGAGUACCUUCACAUGGCACUUACCGAUGGCAAUUGUACAGCUGUUAGUGGCCGCGGCCGUGGCUAUUCAGAUGUGAGUUCUUGUAUAGGUAUUCUACCUUGGUUCCAGAUUUCAAAGACCAAAUUUUCCAAUGCCCAGUUGCCAAGCAGAUGAAGGGGAAGCGGGGAAGAAUGAGGUAGAGUUCAUAGAAUUAAACAACACAGACUGGCCAUUCCGAUUCUGAACUUCGGAUUCGAUGGGCCAUUGACUAGGAGAAAUUUUAAACAGUCUUGUAAAGAGGAUUGCUUCUGUGCAGUAGCCAUUUAUGCGGACAAUGUGUUGGCAGAAGAGAUUUCCUCAGUCCUGUGGAAGACAUAGUAAAAGUAUUACAGACAAGCCCAGAUAAGUCUACCUUGAUCCUUGUUGAGAAUACUCCUUGGCAGUAGUGUUCUUCAAUCUCUUUUUGUGGUUAGCUGUGGCUGCUGUCUUUUGAUACUGUAAGAAACUGAUCAGUCUCCAGUUUGUUUCAAGCAUACCGGGGAAGCGGGGACUACUACUGUGACACAUUAUUCAUACACAGAGCUUGAAGUAGCCACCCAUGGCUUCAAGGCAAUAUCGAGCAGAGGAGAUUGACCAAUUUAGUCAGCUUCUGGUGCAUGAAUACAUGAGCAAUGGCUUCUUUACUCACCUUUGGGGUUGUAAUAAGGCUAAUGCACAGAAGGAGUGCAGCACCCAGAUCAUCCAUUGUGAUAUAAAGCCCCAAAAAAUACUCCCAGAUUGGCACUUAACACCUAGGAUUUCAGAUUUUGAACAAGCAAAGCUGUUGUUUGCUGAUCAAACUUAAACUACUCUUAAGAGGAGGUGGCAUAAGACGGACCAUAUGCUACUUUGCAACAAAAUGGUUCAGGAAAGGAACGAUCACAGCUAAAGUUGAUGCUUACUAUGGUGGAAUGUCGCUAGAAAUCCUAUGCUGCAAUUCCAGUGUUGCAUUUGCAAAGGAAGACGAAGAGGAUGCACUAAUGGAUGGAGCUUAUGAAUGGUUUGUGCAAAGGAAAUUGGCAUGCUGGUGGAAGCUUAUGAAUGAUAUGAAGAGGUUGGAGAGGCUAGUGAUGGUGGCAAUUUGGUGCAUUCAAGAGGAUGCAGCUCUAAGGUCAACUGUAACGCCCAGGCAUUUUCUU